rnacentral:lncRNA from 1 species
AAGGGCUGUAGUGACUCCAGGGAACGUGUGAACAGUGGUUAUCAGCGGAUCACAGAAUGCAGUUCUCUUUCUUUUGUUGAUGAAGGCACAAGGAUAGAAGUUCCUGCUCCUCCAAGGUGUCAUAUAACCCGUCGGGCUCAGCCCUCCAAUAAUUGAAAACGUUCCCUCAAUAACUGGUUGAAUAGCUGUAGAACAAAGGUGGUUUGAGCUGUAGAGUUUCGUAUAAGAAAUAAUGUAGAAUGGCCAUUUAUCUCAUUUUCUCAUCCAAUUUACACUUCCAAUGCAUGUCAUAUGCCAUAGGUCAUGAUGAAGUUGUGUUCAGGAGCCCAAGGUUAGAUGAAAAGAGGAGUUUAGGUGAGGGCCACAAAGCUGCUAGUGAUGGAAGCCAGUUGCACAGGCUACAGUCUUCUAAAUUGUUUCCAUAAAAGAAACUUGUGAAUUUUGGUACUGGAAACCAACAAACUGGGGGAACAUGAGUGGAGGGAGAUAGGAGGACUGAGCCUAGUUUCCUGACCAGCCCUCUUGCUUGAUUUAUGUAGAGCUGUGUGAUAACUAAGGCCCAGAUUGGAAUACAUUUUAUUAUUUCAAAUUCCAGCAUGAAAGCAAAAGUCAGUGCAUUCCUUCAACCCAUUGCAAAUCUUCAUAGCAACAGAAAUAGGUGGGCC